rnacentral:rRNA from 1 species
AUACGGAGGAUGCGAGCGUUAUCCGGAUUUAUUGGGUUUAAAGGGUGCGUAGGCGGGAUUUUAAGUCAGCGGUGAAACGCACGGGCUCAACCCUUGACCUGCCGUUGAAACUGGAGUUCUUGAAUGCGGAUGCUGUGGGAGGAAUGUGUGGUGUAGCGGUGAAAUGCAUAGAUAUCACACAGAACACCGAUUGCGAAGGCAUCUCACAAAUCCGUGAUUGACGCUGAGGCACGAAAGUGUGGGGAUCAAACAGGAUUAGAUACCCUGGUAGUCCACACUGUAAACGAUGAUAACUCGCUGUCGGCGAUACACAGUCGGUGGCCAAGCGAAAGCGAUAAGUUAUCCACCUGGGGAGUACGACCGCAAGGUUGAAACUCAAAGGAAUUGACGGGG